AGGGAUUUAGCUCAGCGGCAUAAGCGCCUGCCUUGCAAGCAGGCAGUCGUGAAUUCAAUCCCUG
rnacentral:tRNA from 1 species